AAAAAAUUUGACGUUAUUAGUUCUGAGGACCUCUACAAUGUCGACAUGCAGCAUGUGAACGUAUAUCUAAGAUUUUAAGUAUAGAGAUAUGUAUAUAAAAAUUGAAUGUACAUAAAAACUUAUACGUGGAUAUUUACGUUCAUCGAAAAGAUGAU
rnacentral:sRNA from 1 species